UACGAAGGGGGCUAGCGUUGCUCGGAAUCACUGGGCGUAAAGGGCGCGUAGGCGGCCGGCCAAGUCGGGGGUGAAAGCCUGUGGCUCAACCACAGAAUUGCCUUCGAUACUGUAGAGCUUGAGACCGGAAGAGGUAAGUGGAACUGCGAGUGUAGAGGUGAAAUUCGUAGAUAUUCGCAAGAACACCAGUGGCGAAGGCGGCUUACUGGUCCGGUUCUGGCGCUGAGGCGCGAAAGCGUGGGGAGCAAACAGG
rnacentral:rRNA from 1 species